AGAGGUGAAGUGAAGGACCAUCACUCAACACCACAUCAUCCAGGACCUGUGAGAGUCAACAGGCCACCACUCCACCCACUUUACUGGGUGAUCUGAGCAUUGGUGAAGGUACCCAUUAUCAACCAACACAAAGGAAGGAUAAACAGCUGGCUGAGCCGUGCACUGACUGCCCCAACCAGGACUCAAACUGAUGCCUGUGGAGUUGUAACCAACCACAGAGGCGAGAAAUAUAUGUGAUGUUAUGAAAUGGCCACAAGGGGCAGAGCAGCUUGACUGAGCUAGUGGAUGAAUGAACUUAGGGCUCUUUCCUUCCCUGCUCUUACAAGACAGGAGGGGAGGUCUUGCUGGGUUGUCAAAAACAAUGACAGAUCAAAGCCAAUCCCGCCAUCCCUCUCCUACAGUCUUGUUCCUUGUUUCUCUUUUAACAAGACUCACAGUCAUGAGUAAAGCGGUCCAUCUCAGCCCAUAGGAGGCGCUGUUCCAUGAAGCUCAUCUCCACUCCUCUUUCAUUAAGUUUGGGCGCCAUGAAGAUCCUCACUGUCACUUCCUUUGGUAAACUGCCACUGUUGGCUGCCUGCAACUGUGUGAGAGGGAGUGAGAUCAAAUGUAUGGAAUGUUCAAUGAGCAGAACUGUAUCAGACAGGUGGAGGAAAUCUAAGAUUAUAUUUGAGGAGGUGUAAGAUAAUUCCCAAAUUCUGGUUCUUCAGUUUUUGUGGUACUUUUGUCUUCUAUCUACAGAUCAUGGGUAAUACUACUCUACCAAUGUUCAUUAUUUAUCUAUCUGUACCUGACACCAAUGCCUAAGAACUUCUCCAUUUUUUUCCUGUCAUUGCAUGCUCUAAUUCCCUCUCUCUCCUCUCACUCCUUUCUCUCACAUAUUCCCAUUUCACUUCAUAUAGAACUCAUAUAAAGUCUUUGUGAACAAACAUGUUGGACUCCUGCAUUUAAUUCCUUCAAACACUCCACAUUUCACCUUUACUUGACACUGCUUUCACCAUCCAUUCUUUGUGUAAUACAAAUGUUCAAAUAGUUAAUUUGAAGUGCUUAUCUUUCAUUACAAAACUUAAAUUUCUUAUAAAUGCAA